rnacentral:rRNA from 1 species
GUAGGGGGCAAGCGUUAUCCGGAUUUACUGGGUGUAAAGGGAGCGUAGACGGCAUGGCAAGCCAGAUGUGAAAGCCCGGGGCUCAACCCCGGGACUGCAUUUGGAACUGUCAGGCUAGAGUGUCGGAGAGGUAAGCGGAAUUCCUAGUGUAGCGGUGAAAUGCGUAGAUAUUAGGAGGAACACCAGUGGCGAAGGCGGCUUACUGGACGAUGACUGACGUUGAGGCUCGAAAGCGUGGGGAGCAA